rnacentral:rRNA from 1 species
UACGGAGGAUGCGAGCAUUAUCCGGAUUUAUUGGGUUUAAAGGGUGCGUAGGCGGACGCUUAAGUCAGCGGUAAAAUUGCGGGGCUCAACCUCGUCGAGCCGUUGAAACUGGGUGCCUUGAGUGGGCGAGAAGUACGCGGAAUGCGUGGUGUAGCGGUGAAAUGCAUAGAUAUCACGCAGAAUUCCGAUUGCGAAGGCAGCGUACCGGCGCCCAACUGACGCUGAAGCACGAAGGCGUGGGUAGCAAACAGG